rnacentral:rRNA from 1 species
GAUGAACGCUGGCGGCGUGCCUAAUACAUGCAAGUCGAGCGAACAGGCGAGGAGCUUGCUCCUCUGACGUUAGCGGCGGACGGGUGAGUAACACGUGGAUAACCUACCUAUAAGACUGGGAUAACUUCGGGAAACCGGAGCUAAUACCGGAUAAUAUAUUGAACCGCAUGGUUCAAUAGUGAAAGACGGUUUUGCUGUCACUUAUAGAUGGAUCCGCGCCGCAUUAGCUAGUUGGUAAGGUAACGGCUUACCAAGGCGACGAUGCGUAGCCGACCUGAGAGGGUGAUCGGCCACACUGGAACUGAGACACGGUCCAGACUCCUACGGGAGGCAGCAGUAGGGAAUCUUCCGCAAUGGGCGAAAGCUUGACGGAGCAACGCCGCGUGAGUGAUGAAGGUCUUCGGAUCGUAAAACUCUGUUAUUAGGGAAGAACAAAUGUGUAAGUAACUAUGCACGUCUUGACGGUACCUAAUCAGAAAGCCACGGCUAACUACGUG